GACGAACGCUGGCGGCGUGCCUAAUACAUGCAAGUUGAGCGAUGAAGAUUGGUGCUUGCACCAAUUUGAAGAGCAGCGAACGGGUGAGUAACGCGUGGGGAAUCUGCCUUUGAGCGGGGGACAACAUUUGGAAACGAAUGCUAAUACCGCAUAACAACUUUAAACAUAAGUUUUAAGUUUGAAAGAUGCAAUUGCAUCACUCAAAGAUGAUCCCGCGUUGUAUUAGCUAGUUGGUGAGGUAAAGGCUCACCAAGGCGAUGAUACAUAGCCGACCUGAGAGGGUGAUCGGCCACAUUGGGACUGAGCCACGGCCCAAACUCCUACGGGAGGCAGCAGUAGGGAAUCUUCGGCAAUGGACGAAAGUCUGACCGAGCAACGCCGCGUGAGUGAAGAAGGUUUUCGGAUCGUAAAACUCUGUUGGUAGAGAAGAACGUUGGUGAGAGUGGAAAGCUCAUCAAGUGACGGUAACUACCCAGAAAGGGACGGCUAACUACGUG
rnacentral:rRNA from 1 species